rnacentral:rRNA from 1 species
GACGAAGGUGGCUAGCGUUGCUCGGAUUUACUGGGCAUAAAGCGCGCGUAGGUGGUCGUGUAAGCGGGUGAUGAAAGCCCAUGGCUCACCCAUGGAACUGUCCCCCGGACUGCACGGCUCGAGGAAGGAAGGGGAGAAUGGAAUUCCCGGUGUAGCGGUGAAAUGCGUAGAUAUCGGGAGGAACGCCGGUGGCGAAAGCGAUUCUCUGGUCCUUUCCUGACACUGAGGCGCGAAAGCUAGGGGAGCAAACAGG